AUUGAACGCUGGCGGCAGGCCUAACACAUGCAAGUCGAACGGUAACAGGAAGCAGCUUGCUGCUUCGCUGACGAGUGGCGGACGGGUGAGUAAUGUCUGGGAAGCUGCCUGAUGGAGGGGGAUAACUACUGGAAACGGUAGCUAAUACCGCAUAAUGUCGCAAGACCAAAGAGGGGGACCUUCGGGCCUCUUGCCAUCGGAUGUGCCCAGAUGGGAUUAGCUUGUUGGUGGGGUAACGGCUCACCAAGGCGACGAUCCCUAGCUGGUCUGAGAGGAUGACCACCCAAACUGGAACUGAACACGGGCCCAAACCCCUAGGGGGGGCAGCGGGGGGGAAUAUUGAAAAAGGGGGGCAAGCCUGGUGCAGCCAUGCCGGGGGGAUGAAGAAGGCCUUCGGGUUGUAAAGUACUUUCAGCGGGGGGGAAGGGAGAAAAGUUAAAACCUUGGCUCAUUGGCGUUACCCGGAGAAGAAGCACCGGAGAACCCCGG
rnacentral:rRNA from 1 species